GGACAAAGGUGAUUCCUAGAUAUGGACCACAGCCCACCCGCUUGCAAGAAGAGCUUGCUGGAGGAAGGUACUCUGCAUGACACCAGAAGACAAAUAAUGCAGUGCCAACCGAGCCAGGAGAUGCUAUGGGCGGGUGCAUUGCUCCAGCAGGUGUAGAAAGAACUCUACUGCCAUCGUGCAGAAAUGGGUUCUGUACCAUAUAGCCCAUUGAAAUUCCUUUUCAUGAGACCUGGAGGUCGGGGAGAAAUAGAAAAGUCGAGAAUUAUUUAAGAAGCUCCAAGACGCGAAGGGCGGGUGCUUUGUCCAGCAGGUGUAGAAAGAACUCUACUGCCAUCGUGCGGAAAUGGGUUCUGUACCAUACAGCUCAUUGAAAUUCCUUUUCAUGAGACCUGGAGGUCAGGGAGAAAUAGAAAAGUCGAGAAUUAUUUAAGAAGCUCCAAGGUGGGUCUCCUAGAAUUCUCCAAAGACCCAGGCCAUAAGAACCUGGAAAUUGAUUCUAUUGUGGAGUACCACGACCUGAAGAAUGAUGAUAUCUAGGCAGAAAUUGUUCGUGUUAUGCUUGUAUUCAAAUGAGAUUUCUUUUUUUUUCAGACGCGAAGGGCGGGUGCUUUGCUCCAGCAGGUGUAGAAAGAACUCUACUGCCAUCGUGCGGAAAUGGGUUCUGUACCAUAUAGCUCAUUGAAAUUCCUUUUCAUGAGACCUGGAGGUCAGGGAGAAAUAGAAAAGUAGAUUAUUAUAAGAAGCUCCAAGGUGGGUGUCGUAGCAUUCUCCAAAGACCCAGGCCCUAAGAACCUGGAAAUUGAUUGUCUUGUGGAGUACCACGACCUGAAGAAUGACGAUAUCUAGGCAGAAAUUGUUCGUGACAUGCUUGUAUUCAAAUGAGAUUUCUUUUUUUUUCAGACGCGAAGGGCGGGUGCUUUGCUCCAGCAGGUGUAGAAAGAACUCUACUGCCAUCGUGCAGAAAUGGGUUCUGUACCAUAUAGCCCAUUGAAAUUCCUUUUCAUGAGACCUGGAGGUCGGGGAGAAAUAGAAAAGUCGAGAAUUAUUUAAGAAGCUCCAAGACGCGAAGGGCGGGUGCUUUGUCCAGCAGGUGUAGAAAGAACUCUACUGCCAUCGUGCGGAAAUGGGUUCUGUACCAUACAGCUCAUUGAAAUUCCUUUUCAUGAGACCUGGAGGUCAGGGAGAAAUAGAAAAGUCGAGAAUUAUUUAAGAAGCUCCAAGGUGGGUCUCCUAGAAUUCUCCAAAGACCCAGGCCAUAAGAACCUGGAAAUUGAUUCUAUUGUGGAGUACCACGACCUGAAGAAUGAUGAUAUCUAGGCAGAAAUUGUUCGUGUUAUGCUUGUAUUCAAAUGAGAUUUCUUUUUUUUUCAGACGCGAAGGGCGGGUGCUUUGCUCCAGCAGGUGUAGAAAGAACUCUACUGCCAUCGUGCGGAAAUGGGUUCUGUACCAUAUAGCUCAUUGAAAUUCCUUUUCAUGAGACCUGGAGGUCAGGGAGAAAUAGAAAAGUAGAUUAUUAUAAGAAGCUCCAAGGUGGGUGUCGUAGCAUUCUCCAAAGACCCAGGCCCUAAGAACCUGGAAAUUGAUUGUCUUGUGGAGUACCACGACCUGAAGAAUGACGAUAUCUAGGCAGAAAUUGUUCGUGACAUGCUUGUAUUCAAAUGAGAUUUCUUUUUUUUUCAGACGCGAAGGGCGGGUGCUUUGCUCCAGCAGGUGUAGAAAGAACUCUACUGCCAUCGUGCGGAAAUGGGUUCUGUACCAUGUAGCCCAUUGAAAUUCCUUUUCAUGAGACCUGGAGGUCGGAGAGAAAUAGAAAAGUCGA